UACGUAGGGGGCAAGCGUUGUCCGGAAUCAUUGGGCGUAAAGAGCUCGUAGGCGGUUCCGUAAGUCGGAUGUGAAAACUCGGGGCUCAACCCCGAGACGCCAUCCGAUACUGCGGUGACUUGAGUCUGGUAGGGGAACACGGAAUUCCUGGUGUAGCGGUGAAAUGCGCAGAUAUCAGGAGGAACACCGAUGGCGAAGGCAGUGUUCUGGGCCAGUACUGACGCUGAGGAGCGAAAGCGUGGGGAGCAAACAGG
rnacentral:rRNA from 1 species